ACUGCGGCGUGCUACCAUGCAAGUCGGACGGACUUCUGGACGUUAGACCUUGGACAUUGGACAUUAGAUAAGGAAGAAAGUUUGCCGAAGGCAAACUAAACUAAAUUAUUUAAUCCAAAGUCGAAUGUCUAAAGUCUAACGUCUAGAAGUUAGUGGCGAACGGGUGAGUAACGCGUGGGUAACCUGCCCUUAUAACGGGGAUAACUUGUCGAAAGGUGAGCUAAUACCGGAUGAUCUAUUAAGGUUGCAUGAUCUUGAUAGCAAAGGUGGCCUCUUCUAUGCUACCGUAUAAGGAUGGACCCGCGUCUGAUUAGCUAGUUGGUGAGGUAACGGCUCACCAAGGCGACGAUCAGUAGCCGGCCUGAGAGGGUGAACGGCCACACUGGGACUGAGACACGGCCCAGACUCCUACGGGAGGCAGCAGUGGGGAAUCUUCCGCAAUGGACGAAAGUCUGACGGAGCAACGCCGCGUGAGUGAUGAAGGUUUUCGGAUUGUAAAACUCUGUCUUUUGGGACGAACGGCUCAUAUGUGAAUAAUGUAUGGGAUUGACGGUACCAAAGGAGGAAGCCCCGGCUAACUACGUGCCAGCAGCCGCGGUAAUACGUAGGGGGCGAGCGUUGUCCGGAAUUAUUGCGCGUAAAGAGCGCGCAGGCGGUUUGUUAAGUCUACCGUGAAAGCUUACGGCUCAACCGUAACAGGCCGGUGGAUACUGGCAGACUUGAGGGCAGGAGAGGAAAGUGGAAUUUCCCAGUGUAGCGGUGAAAUGCGUAGAGACUGGGAGGAACACCAGUGGCGAAGGCGACUUUCUGGACUGCAACUGACGCUG
rnacentral:rRNA from 1 species